AUGAACUGUUGAGCACCACAAGUCGCUAAGGUUAAAUUAGAUAAGGAAUAAGUCAUCUAACUAAAACUCACCCUUGGAAACUGGUUUGCAAGGAGAGUGUGCCUAAAGACUAAUUAAGCUCUCAGCAAUGUAGGAUCGUAACAAUACCCCAGGCUUGGAGAACCACCACUCCGAGUGUUGAGUCUCACGAGAUGGGACCGGCUCUGAUACCAAUUGAUAUGAAUCGUUGAGCAUCACAGUUGCUAUAGUUGAACCACAAGAGGAAUAGGCCACCUUGAUGUGAACUGUUGAACACCACAAGCCGCUAAGGUUAAAUCACAUGAGGAAUAGGCCACCUAGGUAAAAUUCAUCCUUGAAAUAGGCUUGCAAAGAGAGGUUGCCUAGGAACUUAUUAUGCUCUCACCAAGCUUGUCCCUUAGCAUUGUGGGAUCAUAACACUUAUCCUUUAAUGUUUAGAAUGAGAAACCAUUUGCGACACAUUCACUUGUAGACACCUAAAAUUUUGUGAUUAAUUGAAGUUAAAACUUUUCUGAUUCCAAGAAAGAUAAAAGCAGAAGAAUUGAAAAGGAGGAAGAUAAAAGUAGAGGAGGUUUACUCUUUUCCUUAAUAUAUAUACACACGCACACACUGAUGGAUUCCAUGUGUGUAUUUGAAUGUGUGGAUGUACUAACUUAAAUAUAUAUUUACUCUGUGAGGUUAUCCCACUAGGUUUUACCCUCUGUAUAGUUGUAGCACUCUUUGAUUUGUUUCACAAGUAUACUGUUUUUAGACCAGCCUUAGUUGAUGAACAUUUAAUAUAUUGUUCUUUGAAAUAUCAUUUAAUAUAUUCGUUUGAAUAAUAAGGUAGAAGAAAACAAUAUGGCAAGAAGUUGAGUUGAUUCAUUUAAUCAUGACUUCUUAUGGGUUCUCCAUAUGCUAAGUGGAAACGAGUAUCUGCAUUCUGCAUAUGACAAGUUCAUGGGUUCUCCACUAUCCUCGCUUCCUGUGUGAGCUAUCAUAUUCAUGGGAACCACCUUCAUGAUGAAUUAAUCCAAGAGAGCUAAGCCACAUAGGCAGCAUUUCAGCAUCAUGUUGGAUCUGUUAACAACUGAUUAAAAGAUUUUGCU
rnacentral:misc_RNA from 1 species